rnacentral:rRNA from 1 species
CACGGGGGGAGCAAGCGUUGUCCGGAUUUACUGGGCGUAAAGAGCGCGCAGGCGGUCGUUCAAGUCGAGUGUGAAAGCCCCCGGCUCAACUGGGGAGGGUCAUUCGAUACUGAUCGACUCGAAGGCAGGAGAGGGAAGUGGAAUUCCCGGUGUAGUGGUGAAAUGCGUAGAUAUCGGGAGGAACACCAGUGGCGAAGGCGACUUCCUGGCCUGUUCUUGACGCUGAGGCGCGAAAGCUAGGGGAGCAAACGGG